AGAGUUUGAUCCUGGCUCAGGAUGAACGCUGGCGGCGUGCCUAAUACAUGCAAGUCGAGCGGUAACACUUCGGGUGACGAGCGGCGGACGGCAGAGUAACGCGUAGGAACGUACCCCAAACUGAGGGAUAAGCACCGGAAACGGUGUCUAAUACCGCAUAUUAUCUUUGGAUCAAAGCCUUCGGGCGGUUUGGGAGCGGCCUGCGUAUGAUUAGCUUGUUGGUGAGGUAAUGGCUCACCAAGGCGACGAUCAUUAGCUGGUCUGAGAGGAUGAUCAGCCUGACUGGAACUGAGAACGGUCCAGACUCCUACGGGAGGCAGCAGUAGGGAAUUUUCCGCAAUGGGCGAAAGCCUGACGGAGCAACGCCGCGUGCAGGAGGAAGGCCUUCGGGUUGUAAACUGCUUUUAACGGGGACGAUUAUGACGGUACCCGUAGAAUAAGGAUCGGCUAAUUCCGUGCCAGCAGCCGCGGUCAUACGGAAGAUCCGAGCGUUAUCCGGAAUUACUGGGCGUAAAGAGUUGCGUAGGUGGCAUGUAAAGCGAACAGUGAAAGGCUACGGCUCAACCGUAGAUACAUUGUUCGAACUCACAAGCUAGAGCACAGCAGAGGUACCUGGAAUUCCCAGUGUAGGAGUGAAAUCCGUAGAUAUUGGGAGGAACACCGAUGGCGUACGCAGGGUACUGGGCUGUUGCUGACACUAAAGCACGAAAACGUGGGGAGCGAACGGGAUUAGAUACCCCGGUAGUCCACGCCGUAAACUAUGGAUGCUAGCUGUUAUCGGUAUCGACCCCGGUAGUAGCGAAGCUAACGCGUUAAGCAUCCCGCCUGUGGAGUACGAGCGCAAGCUUAAAACAUAAAGGAAUUGACGGGGACCCGCACAAGCGGUGGAGCGGUGUGUUUAAUUCGACGGUAAACGAAGAACCUACCCAGGCUGACAUCCUGCUAAGUUUUGCGAAAGCAAAAUGGUGCUCGGCCGCAUGACAGUGCUGCAUGUCGUCGUCAGCUCUGUCUGAAAGGUGUAGUCAUCACGAGCGCACCCUUAUGUCAGUUGAUUUUCUGCCGACUGCCCGGUACGGAGAAGAAGGAUAUAGUCGAAACAUAUGCCCUACGCUCGGUCAACGUCAUGCGUCAAGACACUCAGGGACAAC
rnacentral:rRNA from 1 species